GCCACAAGUUUGUUCCUCGGCUCCCGGGGGCCUCCGCGCACAGAGAGAAUAACGCGGAGGGGGCUGAGAGGAGGGGGAGAGGGGAGACGCCGAGGGGCAAAAGAGUGGGGAAAAGUGCGAAAAGAAGCAACAGCCGCUCCACCCGGGACCAGAAAAGUGGCCAGCCGCGUCCCGGCCGCCCGCCCUGCGCCGGGGAUGCGGCGGCUAACGGUCCAAGGAGGCGGCAGGGGCGGCAGGAGCCGCUAGGCGGAGAGAGACCAGGUAUCAGACAGAAGCCCUGGAGAGAGCCCAAGCAAAGCCAACACAGGACAGUCAGUGAAGCUAGACCGUAGGUGAAGCUGGGAGCAUCUGAGGAGAUCCUGAGAGAAAGAAAAUCGGGGGAGUGAAGAAAAGGGGAAGAGAGAAGCAACAUUUGAAGAAAAAGGAGCCGAGAUUUUCCAGGAUUGGACGACAGCACAAACGCUCAGAUACAGAGUACACUAGUAGCAGAAAUCCUCACCAAGAAGCCUGUGACUUCCUGGAGACGGUGGAAGAAGCCCUGUGGUUCUAGAGAAACUCAAGACCAAAGCUACUGACUGACUUCCUCACGGAGGGGGCACAGCCUGGAAUAUUCCUCUGUACCCUCGAGUCAUGUUGGGAGAGAGAUCAGGUUCUUCUAACUUGCCCAUUAAUGUAUAUGAAUUACUUAGUUAAUGCCACACUGUUCACUGAGUUGCUUCUGUUUGAAAAGAGCUGUAUCAGACCCUGGAAAUGUAAAAAUGCUGUCCAAUGUAGAAGGUAUAAUUGGAUGAGGACAUAAGUUACUACAAUGCAAAGUUAAAUCAGAGGCAGAUUUAGCAUGAAGUGAAUGAAACUCCAGUGUCAGUGCCCCUCACUUACAUGGGCCCCUUCUGAUGCUCUAGGAGAAACCCUAUGAACAUACUUAUGUGCUCAUACAUUUUGGUAAACUUUGCAAAAGUGAGAAUUAAGAAAAAAAAAAAAAAAACUUCAGUUAAACUGUCUUUUUCCUGUCUUACUUCCCCUACUGUUGAAAUGCCCAAGGACAUUUUUGAGUCCCAGCAAACGAAUUGUACGAAGGACACGUUUAGCUGAGUUUAUUGAAAUAUACGUAUGGGAUCAUAAAUACUUCAUUUCAGAAUGACCUGAUUGCCAGCUGCACUCGUGGAGGUGUGAUUUCUAGAAACAUCUUACUACCCCUGUGCUGAUUCGUUGGGUUCAUGGCUUGAUGGUGUAGAACAGAGGCUUUACCGUGACAGGAACAUGCCGGGUGGCACUCAGCCCAGGAAGUAGGUGGGUCCUGGAGGAGACACCAGAGUUUGAGGUGUACAUGAGGCAAGAAAAUAGUCUGUGGAGAAUUCUUCUAAUCAGACAUGUAAAGCUGUGAAUGGAGGGCGUCGUUCUCAAAAGUGCCUGGUCGGGAAUACUCCUAACGACACAGCAUAAGCAGUUAUAUACUUAUACGUGCACCAAUUUUUCUUUUUGUUGGUAAUUGCACAAAAUGAGGCACAACCUGGUGGCAGCACUAUAAAGAGUGAGUCCAUCUAUAGGUGAAGUUGUACAUUCUAUUCAUUCCAAUUACCAGCAAUAAAAAAUGUGACCAGCCAUUACAGAAGACUGAAUUAUAUUUCCAUUUUCUCUACAGAAAAUACUAUAAUUAAGUAACUCCAAUAGGCAGUUACUGAAUGAAAAUGUUAUUUUUCCAGAUUUUAUAAUAAUUAUUACAUUUGUUAACUUGUUAAAAUUUGAUUUGGUUGUGAUUUCUUUAUUCUAAAUAAAUAUGCAUUUUCUUA